UCUCACCUACGGGAGGCAGCAGUGAGGAAUAUUGGUCAAUGGUCGGGAGACUGAACCAGCCACGCCGCGUGAGGGAGGAAGGUACGGAGUAUCGUAAACCUCUUUUGUCAGGGAACAAAGGCGGGGACGUGUCCCCGGAUGAGUGUACCUGAAGAAAAAGCAUCGGCUAACUCCGUGCCAGCAGCCGCGGUAAUACAGAGGAUGCGAGCGUUAUCCGGAUUUAUUGGGUUUAAAGGGUGCGCAGGCGGUCUGUUAAGUCAGCGGUCAAAGCCCGGGGCUC
rnacentral:rRNA from 1 species